rnacentral:rRNA from 1 species
GCUUAGAGUUUGAUCCUGGCUCAGAUUGAACGCUGGCGGCAGGCCUAACACAUGCAAGUCGAGCGGUAGAGAGAAGCUUGCUUCUCUUGAGAGCGGCGGACGGGUGAGUAAUGCCUAGGAAUCUGCCUGGUAGUGGGGGAUAACGUUCGGAAACGGACGCUAAUACCGCAUACGUCCUACGGGAGAAAGCAGGGGACCUUUCGGGCCCUUGCGCUAUCAGAUGAGCCUAGGUCGGAUUAGCUAGUUGGUGGGGUAAUGGCUCACCAAGGCGACGAUCCGUAACUGGUCUGAGAGGAUGAUCAGUCACACUGGAACUGAGACACGGUCCAGACUCCUACGGGAGGCAGCAGUGGGGAAUAUUGGACAAUGGGCGAAAGCCUGAUCCAGCCAUGCCGCGUGUGUGAAGAAGGUCUUCGGAUUGUAAAGCACUUUAAGUUGGGAGGAAGGGCCGUUACCUAAUACGUGAUGGUUUUGACGUUACCGACAGAAUAAGCACCGGCUAACUCUGUGCCAGCAGCCGCGGUAAUACAGAGGGUGCAAGCGUUAAUCGGAAUUACUGGGCGUAAAGCGCGCGUAGGUGGUUUGUUAAGUUGGAUGUGAAAUCCCCGGGCUCAACCUGGGAACUGCAUUCAAAACUGACUGACUAGAGUAUGGUAGAGGGUGGUGGAAUUUCCUGUGUAGCGGUGAGAUGCGUAGAUAUAGGAAAGGAACACCAGUGGCGAAGGCGACCACCUGGACUGAUACUGACACUGAGGUGCGAAAGCGUGGGGAGCAAACAGGAUUAGAUACCCUGGUAGUCCACGCCGUAAACGAUGUCAACUAGCCGUUGGGAGCCUUGAGCUCUUAGUGGCGCAGCUAACGCAUUAAGUGACCGCCUGGGA